rnacentral:rRNA from 1 species
CGAGCGGCGGACGGGUGAGUAAUGUCUGGGAAACUGCCUGAUGGAGGGGGAUAACUACUGGAAACGGUAGCUAAUACCGCAUAACGUCGCAAGACCAAAGAGGGGGACCUUCGGGCCUCUUGCCAUCGGAUGUGCCCAGAUGGGAUUAGCUAGUAGGUGAGGUAAAGGCUCACCUAGGCGACGAUCCCUAGCUGGUCUGAGAGGAUGACCAGCCACACUGGAACUGAGACACGGUCCAGACUCCUACGGGAGGCAGCAGUGGGGAAUAUUGCACAAUGGGCGCAAGCCUGAUGCAGCCAUGCCGCGUGUGUGAAGAAGGCCUUCGGGUUGUAAAGCACUUUCAGCGGGGAGGAAGGGAGCAGACUUAAUACGUCUGUUCAUUGACGUUACCCGCAGAAGAAGCACCGGCUAACUCCGUGCCAGCAGCCGCGGUAAUACGGAGGGUGCAAGCGUUAAUCGGAAUGACUGGGCGUAAAGCGCACGCAGGCGGUCUGUUAAGUUGGAUGUGAAAUCCCCGGGCUUAACCUGGGAACUGCAUUCAAAACUGACAGGCUAGAGUCUCGUAGAGGGGGGUAGAAUUCCAGGUGUAGCGGUGAAAUGCGUAGAGAUCUGGAGGAAUACCGGUGGCGAAGGCGGCCCCCUGGACGAAGACUGACGCUCAGGUGCGAAAGCGUGGGGAGCAAACAGGAUUAGAUACCCUGGUAGUCCACGCUGUAAACGAUGUCGAUUUGGAGGUUGUGCCCUUGAGGCGUGGCUUCCGGAGCUAACGCGUUAAAUCGACCGCCUGGGGAGUACGGCCGCAAGGUUAAAACUCAAAUGAAUUGACGGGGGCCCGCACAAGCGGUGGAGCAUGUGGUUUAAUUCGAUGCAACGCGAAGAACCUUACCUACUCUUGACAUCCAGAGAAGCCUGCAGAGAUGCGGGUGUGCCUUCGGGAGCUCUGAGACAGGUGCUGCAUGGCUGUCGUCAGCUCGUGUUGUGAAAUGUUGGGUUAAGUCCCGCAACGAGCGCAACCCUUAUCCUUUGUUGCCAGCACUUCGGGUGGGAACUCAAGGGAGACUGCCGGUGAUAAACCGGAGGAAGGUGGGGAUGACGUCAAGUCAUCAUGGCCCUUACGAGUAGGGCUACACACGUGCUACAAUGGCGUAUACAAAGAGAAGCGACCUCGCGAGAGCAAGCGGACCUCAUAAAGUACGUCGUAGUCCGGAUUGGAGUCUGCAACUCGACUCCAUGAAGUCGGAAUCGCUAGUAAUCGUAGAUCAGAAUGCUACGGUGAAUACGUUCCCGGGCCUUGUACACACCGCCCGUCACACCAUGGGAGUGGGUUGCAAAAGAAGUAGGUAGCUUAACCUUCGGGAGGGCGCUUACCACUUUGUGAUUCAUGACUGGGGUGAAGUCGUAACAAGGUAACCGUAGGGGAACCUGCGGUUG